CCAUUAGCUUGUUGGUGAGGUAACAGCUCACCAAGGCAUCGAUGGGUAGGGGUUCUGAGAGGACGACCAGCCACACUGGGACUGAGACACGGCCCAGACUCCUACGGGAGGCAGCAGUGGGGAAUUUUGGACAAUGGGCGCAAGCCUGAUCCAGCUAUUCCGCGUGUGGGAUGAAGGCCCUCGGGUUGUAAACCACUUUUGUAGAGAACGAAAAGACAUCUUCGAAUAAAGGAUGUUGCUGACGGUACUCUAAGAAUAAGCACCGGCUAACUACGUGCCAGCAGCCGCGGUAAUACGUAGGGUGCGAGCGUUAAUCGGAAUUACUGGGCGUAAAGGGUGCGCAGGCGGUUGAGUAAGACAGAUGUGAAAUCCCCGAGCUUAACUCGGGAAUGGCAUAUGUGACUGCUCGACUAGAGUGUGUCAGAGGGAGGUGGAAUUCCACGUGUAGCAGUGAAAUGCGUAGAUAUGUGGAAGAACACCGAUGGCGAAGGCAGCCUCCUGGGACAUAACUGACGCUCAGGCACGAAAGCGUGGGGAGCAAACAGG
rnacentral:rRNA from 1 species